AACGAACGCUGGCGGCAGGCCUAACACAUGCAAGUCGAGCGCGCCCUUCGGGGUGAGCGGCGGACGGGUGAGUAACGCGUGGGAACGUGCCCUUUUCUACGGAAUAGCCUCGGGAAACUGAGAGUAAUACCGUAUACGCCCUUUGGGGGAAAGAUUUAUCGGAAAAGGAUCGGCCCGCGUUGGAUUAGGUAGUUGGUGGGGUAAUGGCCUACCAAGCCGACGAUCCAUAGCUGGUUUGAGAGGAUGAUCAGCCACACUGGGACUGAGACACGGCCCAGACUCCUACAGGAGGCAGCAGUGGGGAAUCUUAGACAAUGGGGGCAACCCUGAUCUAGCCAUGCCGCGUGAGUGAUGAAGGCCUUAGGGUUGUAAAGCUCUUUCAGCUGGGAAGAUAAUGACGGUACCAGCAGAAGAAGCCCCGGCUAACUCCGUG
rnacentral:rRNA from 1 species